ACCCCAAGGAUGUAAGUGGUGGUUGUGACCGGGGUCAUGGCGCAGCUUGUUCAUGUGGCGGCAAACCCAUAACUGAAUAAUGAGUGAUGGGAAGCCAUUUGUUCAUUGUCAUUUCUUGGACAACUAUGGAAGAUGAGGACAGAUUUUCCCAGCCUAAGGCAAAAUGGAUUUGGAAGUACAGACCCUAGGAAUCACCAAGAGCCAGGGGCUGACAGCCACCAAAUAUCUCUGCAGGAAGAAGGUAUGUAAAACUUUGAUUUCUGUAACCAGCACUGCCAUCCCCUCCUGCCUACCUUCACCCACAGGAGCCCAGCUCAAAGGCCAUGGAGUCCCACUGGCCACUGUGGGCGUC